rfam:Rhodospirillales bacterium 47_12_T64 BD02T64_scaffold_2818, whole genome shotgun sequence.
AUACCUCUCGCGGGAGAGUCUGUUUAAAAGUUUCUUACAGGAAACCUUUGAAAUGGCGCCGAAGGAGCAACCGCCCCGGAAACUCUCAGGCAACAUGGACCGCAUGAGGCAG